rnacentral:rRNA from 1 species
UACGUAGGUGGCGAGCGUUGUCCGGAUUUAUUGGGCGUAAAGCGCGCGCAGGCGGUCGCGUAAGUCUGCUGUGAAAUCUCCCUGGCUCAACCGGGAGGGGGCGGCGGAGACUGCGGGACUGGAGGGACCUAGAGGCCGGUGGAAUUCCCGGUGUAGUGGUGAAAUGCGUAGAUAUCGGAAGGAACACCUGUGGCGAAAGCGGCUCACUGGACCACAACUGACGCUGAUGCGCGAAAGCUAGGGGAGCAAACAGG